UACGUAGGGACCGAGCGUUGUCCGGAAUCAUUGGGCGUAAAGAGCGUGUAGGCGGCCACUUAAGUCCUGCGUGAAAUCUUGCGGCUCAACCGCAAGCGGUCGUGGGAAACUGGGUGGCUAGAGUGCGGGAGAGGAGAGUGGAAUUCCUGGUGUAGCGGUGGAAUGCGCAGAUAUCAGGAAGAACACCCGUGGCGAAGGCGGCUCACUGGCUCGUAUCUGACGCUCAGGCGCGAUAGCGUGGGGAUCAAACAGG
rnacentral:rRNA from 1 species